rnacentral:rRNA from 1 species
AGCGAACGCUGGCGGCAGGCCUAACACAUGCAAGUCGAACGAAGUCUUCGGACUUAGUGGCGGACGGGUGAGUAACACGUGGGAACGUACCUUUUGGUUCGGAACAACUCAGGGAAACUUGAGCUAAUACCGGAUGAGCCCUUAGGGGGAAAGAUUUAUCGCCGAAAGAGCGGCCCGCGUUAGAUUAGCUAGUUGGUGAGGUAAAGGCUCACCAAGGCUACGAUCUAUAGCUGGUCUGAGAGGAUGAUCAGCCACACUGGGACUGAGACACGGGCCAGACUCCUACGGGAGGCAGCAGGGGGGAAUCUUGCGCAAUGGGCGAAAGCCUGACGCAGCCAUGCCGCGUGAAUGAUGAAGGUCUUAGGAUUGUAAAAUUCUUUUACCAGGGACGAUAAUGACGGUACCUGGAGAAAAAGCCCCGGCUAACUUCGUGCCAGCCGCCGCGGUAAUAC